rnacentral:rRNA from 1 species
ACGCACGCUGGCGGCGUGCCUAAUCCAUGCACGUUGAGCGCUGAAGGUUGGUACUUGUACCAACUGGAUGAGCAGCGAACGGGUGAGUAACGCGUGGGGAAUCUGCCUUUGAGCGGGGGACAACAUUUGGAAACGAAUGCUAAUACCGCAUAAAAACUUUAAACACAAGUUUUAAGUUUGAAAGAUGCAAUUGCAUCACUCAAAGAUGAUCCCGCGUUGUAUUAGCUAGUUGGUGAGGUAAAGGCUCACCAAGGCGAUGAUACAUAGCCGACCUGAGAGGGUGAUCGGCCACAUUGGGACUGAGACACGGCCCAAACUCCUACGGGAGGCAGCAGUAGGGAAUCUUCGGCAAUGGACGAAAGUCUGACCGAGCAACGCCGCGUGAGUGAAGAAGGUUUUCGGAUCGUAAAACUCUGUUGGUAGAGAAGAACGUUGGUGAGAGUGGAAAGCUCAUCAAGUGACGGUAACUACCCAGAAAGGGACGGCUAACUACGUG